rnacentral:lncRNA from 1 species
AGAUCUAAGUACGUUCCCCGAACAAACGGGAUGCGCAAUCGACGUUAGACUNUCAGAACCGAGCGAAAAGACAGAAAUCCCUGCUCCGAAUAUUAACGCUUACAGUCCAUCAUCCUUACUUAGCGUUCCAUGCACCGCGGAGCUAACUCUUCAUCCGUUUCCUUCCUUACAAUGCACAUCCGUCAGGGCCAGAGUCUUUGUGGCAAUCUUUCAUAUUCAGCACGCAAUGAACCCUUCAUGGACACCAGCUGCAUUAGCCUGGCUUGUCGUCCUUGCGGCAGCCUGGGCAAAUGGCCCAACGCGAUUUAAGUAUGCUGCUGCUUGCGGCCAAGAAACAAGCAUUCCAAAACUGUCAUAUCAUCCCCUGGUUUCGUUGUAUUUGGUUUGCAUACAAGUCGACGCGGAUACUACCUGCAGUGACCGCCGUAUCAGAAGACACUUUUCCUGUACUGGCGGAACCAACAACAGCGAAGUUCAAAAAACCCGACUAGUAGCUAAAAGUCAGCAUUCAUAGAGUUAAACGUCCCCGUCCGUGACUUGUACAUAACAAUCCAAGCAUCUCCUAAGCGUCUUUCUCCCCCUUCGUAAGGCCAUCGCGUCCACCAACGCACGUCUUACAUCCGCCCAGUACAGUGCCGUUGAAGCUGUGACGAGUAUUAUGAACGCCUAAAUAAUUCAUGAACAUCCGCUACGUUUGCCUAGCAUUGUCGUAAAGGAGGUCGCGUCGGCAUCAGGCCAUCAACGUUGCGCCCAGGACAACACUUGCUGCAGCCAAGAAACAGAAAGUGUAUAUGUAUUCGUUCAUCCCCCUGGUCUUAGGGUUGCCCCUCAGACGACGUAGAUACCACCUCCUGGCACCGCCGUACCGGAAAGCACUUUUCCGGUACGGGCAGAGCCAGCAGCAUUCCAGGUUCAGAAUUGAACCCAAAGGCAGAAAUCACCAUUCUGAGAGUUGAACGUCGCCAUCCAUGAUUUAGACAUACCAUUCCAUGGCCUGUGCAUGCGCGUCCGUGUCCUUCACUACGUUGCCAUCACGUCCACCAACGCACACUUGACAUCCGUCCUGUCCGGAGCCGUCGUCGCGAGCUUCGACAACAUGAAUGUAAGCAACAUUCGGAACAUCCGUCCUGUUUGCAUGGGAUUGUCGUCCUCCCGCCGGCGGAAAAGCCACUCAACGUAUUGCUUAAGAAUUCCUUCCCAAGCCUAUAACACAAACAUAAUAACAUUGUCCUAGCAUUCCAUAGCCCUACUUGACUUGCCUACAAGUCCACAGCAACGAGUUGCCCCGGUCGGACCCUCCAAGUCUAGCCCAGUAGCUUACUGUGGGCUGACGUUAGUGAACAUGGAAUGCAAGCUGUGUGUGUGCUCAUCCCCUUUGAAAAAGGUUUGACUACGACUUGACACACAGACUCCCUCCUGCAACAAAUGCCCAUUUUCUGUACGAGCGUGACGAGCAACAUAAGAGAUCCAGAACCGACCACACCGGCAGAAUUCAUCGUUCAGUUCCUUAAACCUUCAUUUACG